GCGGCGUUCGGUCACAAGUUGUCUUAUUUUUGAUAUUCAAAUACGGCGAUUAGUUAUUCUUUUUAUUACAUUGGCAAAUGGCUUUUUUUUUUAUGAAAUUAAUGUAGAAAAUGUAAGGAACUAUAUCUUUUUCCUACGCAUUGACAAUUUGUUUUGAUCCGACGUUAUCGACGUCUUGACAACGCCUAUUGUUGUAUGACGUCAGAGAGUGAAAUAACCACGUUUAUUUCACAUGUGAAAUUAUCGGUUUUUAUCUAACUGGGAAACCAAUGUAAUUCAUUGCAACCAAUGUAAUAAAU
rnacentral:lncRNA from 1 species